CCUACGGGUGGCAGCAGUGAGGAAUAUUGGUCAAUGGGCGGAAGCCUGAACCAGCCAAGUAGCGUGCAGGAUGACGGCUCUACGGGUUGUAAACUGCUUUUAUACGGGAAUAACGCGCCUUACGUGGAGGGCUUUGCAUGUAUCGUAUGAAUAAGGACCGGUUAAUUUCGUGCCAGAAGCCGCGGUAAUACGGAAGGUCCGGGGGUUAUCCGGAUUGAUUGGGUUUAAAGGGAGCGUAGGCCGCAUGUCAAGCGUGCUGUGAAAUGUCCGGGCUCAACCCGGGCCUUGCAGCGUGAACUGGCGUCCUUGAGUCCGCGGAGGGCAGUCGGAAUUCGUCGUGUAGCGGUGAAAUGCUUAGAUAUGACGAAGAACCCCGAUUGCGAAGGCAGCUUGCUGCAGCGGAACUGACGCUGAUGCUCGAAAGCGCGGGUAUCGAACAGGAUUAGAUACCCCGGUAGUC
rnacentral:rRNA from 1 species